UGGGGAAUCUUGGACAAUGGGGGAAACCCUGAUCCAGCCAUGCCGCGUGAGUGAUGAAGGCCUUCGGGUUGUAAAGCUCUUUUACCCGGGAAGAUAAUGACUGUACCGGGAGAAUAAGCUCCGGCUAACUUCGUGCCAGCAGCCGCGGUAAUACGAAGGGGGCUAGCGUUGUUCGGAAUUACUGGGCGUAAAGCGUGCGCAGGCGGUUUCCCAAGUCAGUGGUGAAAGCCCGGAGCUCAACUCCGGAAUUGCCAUUGAAACUGUGGAACUCGAGGACGAGAGAGGUGAGUGGAAUUCCCAGUGUAGAGGUGAAAUUCGUAGAUAUUGGGAAAGAACACCGGUGGCGAAGGCGGCUCACUGGCUUCGUUUCUGACGCUCAUGCACGACAGCGUGGGGAUCAAAACA
rnacentral:rRNA from 1 species